CAUUAUAUUUUUGAUAAUAAUAUGCUUGCUUGUCUUAAUGUCUAUGUUGUAUUGUUGUAUUAUAAUUUAUUUGAUCAUUGAUUGAAGUACAUAUUUUGUGUAAUUUAAUAAGUCUUUUAAUAUUAACUACAUAAUUCAACACGAAGAGUAGUAGAGCCAAACUUAUGGUUAAACUUGGAGAAAGUAGCCAACAAGAGUAUAAUAGUAUCAACGUCAAACAAAUGCGAUCAGAGAAAUUAGCAUCAGAAAAUAAAUUUAUAAUUAACUAUGAGCUUCCAAACACUGUUGAAAAGGUAGAAGCAUGGUUACAAGACCCCCAAAAUGUUUAUAUGAGCGAUUCAUCACCUAAAUCUUACCAUACACUUACUCCAUGAAAAUUAGUGGGAAAAGAUCAAUCAGAUCUAUGGAACAUUUCAGAUGAAGGUAAUACAAUUUUUGGUCAAAUUAAUGACGGAGUUAUAGAAAAUCAUAUCAUGGGAAGUCAAAUUAAUAUUAAUUCAAUAACUUCAAAUAAUAAUAUUUUGAUUGGGGAAAUUGACAACUAUGAAUCCGGCAAUGUAUUUCAAAAUGAUAUUCCUAAUCAAUGUUCUGAAGUAUUUCAACAUUUUGAAAAUCAUAAUAAUGAUAACAUUAUUAUAUUCAACAAUGCAACAAAUAAUGAUGGAGUAACUUCGUUAACUAACAUUGCUGAUCAAACACCUGAGUUUACUAAUAUUAUUGAAAAUAAUAUUCUACAUUUUAAUUCUAAUUCUGAUCAAAUUGAAGAUGAAGUUGUACUUCUUAAAAGUAAAAAAAGGAAAAGUUUUGGUUCACUAAAAGAAGCAUGAAAAAAAAGAGAAAUAUGGGCCAGUCGUAUCAUACAGCUAAUAAAAAAAAAUUAAUAAAUGCUAAAGAAAUAAAAUUAGCUUGUGGAAAUAUCUGUAGACUAAAAUGCUCAUUGUCUAUAAGUAAAAUAAGUAGACAACAACUAUUCAAUUCUUACUGGCAGUUAGGAAAUGUAGAUAGACAAAGAGAUUUUUUAUCUAAAUGCAUUGAACUUGGCAAUGUACCUAAAUAUAGGUAUCCUCAUACAGUAACUAGAGACUUAAAUUAUUCAUAUAACUUUUGUAUAAAUAAUAUUAAACAUAGUCGGUAAAUUAUUUUUCAAAAAUACACUUGCUAUUAGUGAUAGACCAAUUCGAACAGUUAUUUCAAGACUAAACAACUAUGGAUUUAUUAAGGAAAAUAAACGUGGAAAACAUAAAAACCAUAAAAAACUUGACUUUGCAAUUAAACAAAGUGUUCGAGACCACAUAAACUCUAUACCUCGUAUCAAAAGCCAUUAUUUAAGAGCACAAACAACUAGAGAGUAUAUUGAAGGUGGAAAAUCUUUGGCUGACUUACAUAGAGAUUAUUCAUCUCUCAAGAAAGAAGAACAAUAUAUUCAAGAAAAAAUAGCUAAUUUAACCAUGUACUCAAGAAUUUUUAAUACAGAGUUUAAUAUUUCUUUUUUUGUUCCCAAAAAAGACCAAUUUUCUCUUUGUGAAUCAUACAAAAAUGCGGAUGACGAUGAAAAAGUACUUAAAGAUGAAAAUUAUUAGCUACAUUUGUCAGAAAAAAAUCUAAGUAGAACAGAAAAAGAAAAUGAUAAACAUUUGGCUUUAAAUGAUAUAAAUAGAAGUAACAUAUUAUUAGCAUGCUAUGACCUUCAGGCUGUACUUCCAACCCCUAGAGGUGAAGUAUCUGUAUUCUAUUAUAAAUCUAAAUUAUCCACUUACAAUUUUACUAUAUCUGAUAUUGUGAGAAAACAAUAAUUUUGUUAUGUUUGGAAUGAAGGUGAAGCAAAAAAAGGAGUUAAUGAAAUUGGAACAUCUAUAAUAAAAUUCUUAAAAUCUGAAUAUAACAAUGGAAAAACUGAAGUAAUUUUUUACUCGGAUAACUGUGCUGGACAAAACAAAAAUAAAUUUAUAACAUCAUUAUACUUGUACGCCAUUACAAAUAUAGAUAUUAAUUCGAUUACUUACAAGUUUUUAGUAGUUGGCCAUACUCAAAAUGAAGGAGACACUGCACAUACUGUCAUAGAGAAACAAAUUAAAAAAUCCUUAA